ACAUGAUUUUUUUUUUCACUUUUUAUUGCUCAUUGAGGGCGAUUGUGCCUUCCCUAAGAGGUAGUUUCUUAACUAUGUAUACAUCGGUAUUGGUGGUUAGUUAAUAGCUAGAGAGAGGGGAUGGUAACUCCAAUCACUAAACUGAAGUUUCGUUCAGCAAAUGGAGACGCCCGUGACCAAGUCUCGAACCCGAGACAGUGUGCCACAGGCAUUGCCGUGUUAUCGAAUCGUCCUACUAUAUUCUUAAUAGCCAAACUAAAUUUUAAAUUUUAAUACUCAAAUACACAAAAUUCAAAUUUUAUAGGUAAAGAUAUAUUUAUUGAUAACGUUAAUGAAGAUUGUAAUGACAUAAAUGAGAAAUUUUUUAAUAAAGCAGUAAAAAAAAGAAAUGAUAUGAUGAAAAAAUUGUUAAAGGGUUACUUUCGUAUUACAAAAGUUUCAGACGAACUAUUGAGUAAUAAUGAUAAUGAAAUACGCAAAAUUAAUAAACUUAUUAUAACAUUAGAAUAUAACUCUAUAUUUGACGAACUGAAUGUAGGAAAUGAUUUUAAAAAUGUAGAUGUUGUUACUUCAAGCAUUUUAUCCCUUUAUGAUUGUCAACACAUUAAAAAAUAAUUUUUUUAAUCUGUAGUCUUUCCAACAAAUAUUCCAAAAAUACUAUUAUAGCAUUUACUAUGCCACAUUUAGGUAUUUGGCAUUUCCUAGAAAUUAAUUAAUAAUUAAUAUCAUAUAAAAUUAAUCCUACUUGAAAUUAAUAGAAACUUUUCUGAUUGGGGUUAUAUUGUUACACACCUAGUCUUUUAAAUACGGCUUUGUAUAAUUAUAUUUACGCACAUCAAUUUUUAUGUAAUAUA